ACCACAGUGCCUGCAACCUUCUUUAACCAAGUCACCAUAAGCUUUUGAUAGGGCUUUUGUCUUUCCCUUUCUCAUACAUUUUUCUGUCCUAGAGAAAGUGGGAGAUUUAAAAAUUAUGUAUUCUGUCUUUGCUUGGGUACUGUGAAGUCAGGUAUAUUUGUAGAGUUGGGUUAGCGAGGUAGUGACAAUUUCCUUUUAAAGAUGUAUAUCUUCUUUCUCCCCAAUUCUUUCCAAAGAAAUUACUGAUGCUGAGGAAGAUCCUGAGGAUAAAGCAACAAACGCAGUCUGGAACCAGUGACAUUAAAGACCUGAACCCUGCACCUCAUCUUGGGACAAUUCUAAGGGCUACCUGAGUUCCACAUAUUAUCAAGGACUCAGCUGAAUCUUUUGGGAGCGGUUAUGGACAACCUAAGGUAAUAACUGGAUCCAUAAAGAUGGAAGAAAGAAUGACUGAGCAGAGUCUUGCUCUGUUGCCUAGGCUGAAGUGAAGUAGUGUGAUCUCGGCUCGCCACAACCUCUGCCUCCCAGGUUCAAGCGAUUCUCCUGCCUCAGCCUCCCGAGUAGCUGGAACUAUAGGUCAUCUAGGGGAAAACAGAAGUAUGAGGAUUGAGACUUCUUCUGAAAAUCAGUGAGUGGCUCUCUGCAGUGGUUACAGAAAUGCCCCAGCAUGGACUCCCUCCUGUAAACUGGCUCUGCUGUCCCAGCAGUGACGGAAAGCACUCAAUUUGUUUUCUCUUGGAAGAGACAGAGUGGCUGUCAGUUUACUGCAAUAUUUUGGACUGCCUGGAAAAUUCAAUGUACAACAGGAGAAAGGAGAGGCAGGAGACAGACUCUGGAAUAGAAGUCAAAGACAAAGAGGCUCGUAAACAUCAAGAUUCUGGGGCUAAUCUAGCCAUUCACAGCUUUAGAACCAUGGACAGUAAAACUUAAAAUAUAUACUAUGUUCUAACCACCACAAGGUUAUUCACUCUAGCAACUAAAAAAGCACUGGCCUCAGGAUUUGCAACAUUAAAAGUCACAGCUCAUCCACCAUCAGAUGCUAACUGACCCUGCUGUUCCACAAGCCAUAACUACAGCUUUGAUUGGACAAGAGUCUGGUUUCAGUAACUUUCUCCUGAUUAAGAAGACCACUGACCAUUGACUGGUUUUGCCAGUUUACAGAGAUUACACACUUACCUACCUUUGUAUGUAAAAUGAUCUUUUGAUAUAUAAAGCAUAACUGUAGCACAUUUAAAUGUUAAGUAGCCACCCCAAAGUGAACAUGGGUCAUAUGUUACGUGCAUGUUUGUUCAAUAGGCAUGUGUCAGGACCACCUUCAUGAAUAUUCAUAGCUCCUCCUGUAACCAGUUAAAUAUAUAUGUUUAGCCAACCUCUUCAGCAUAAAGCUCCCACCCCAAGCCCUCCUUUGAAGGGCCUGUCUCUAGUUUUGCCUGGAUGGCCACCUUGCAGGCUGUAACCCUUUGGAAGAAAUAAAGUCUCCUCUCUCCUUUUCAAAACUUAAAAA
rnacentral:lncRNA from 1 species